rnacentral:rRNA from 14 species
CCAUAGAGGGUGCCAGGCCCGUGGAACUACCAUCUGUAGCUUGUGGAUUACUCUUAAGAGUCGUGUUGCUUGAUAGUGCAGCACUAAGUGGGUGGUAAACUCCAUCUAAGGCUAAAUAUUACCAUGAGACCGAUAGCGAACAAGUACCGUGAGGGAAAGUUGAAAAGAACUCUGAAUAGAGAGUUAAAUAGUACGUGAAACCGUAUAGAGGUUAAGCUCGUUGAAUCUAAAUAUCUGGCUGUUGGAAUUCAAUAUC